AAGAAAUCUAUUUCAUCUUCAUCUGGAAAUCUGACAGAGGGUUUUGAAUGUUCAUUCUCUUCUGAAAACAUAAAUCAGAUCAUGUGUCCACCCUUCUUAAAAACCUUCUUGUCUAGCACCCCACUGUGCAAAGGAUAAAAUUCUAACCUCUUAAUGUGGACAAUUAGGAUCCUUCACUCUCUCUCCACAAAUAAUAGCCAUAUUUUUCAGUAGCUCUCCACUGUGUACAUGUACUUAACCAGCCAUACAGAAUUUCCCAUGCACCAUUUCUUCAAUACCAUGCUUUUCCAUGGUUGUUUUGUACACACUGAUGUAUGUGCACUGUUGGUCCCACCUUUCUCCUCUUCUUCAUUUGGCAGGCACCUAACUAUUCUCAAACCUAGUUCUUAUAUAAUAGGGAAGCUGACUGAGACUCUCCCAGAGCUAUUUGAUCCUUUCUCAAUGCUACCAUAGCAGUAUGAACAUACCUCCAUAACUUACUUCUUGUUUGUG
rnacentral:lncRNA from 1 species